CAAGGAGCUCUCAUUCUGCCCAGAGGUCUGGAAAGGAGGAAACUACUGCAGAUCUCACUGCCCCUUGGUUAAACCAGGCAUGUCUUUUGAGCACCAGCUGUGUUCCAGAUACUCUUUGAAGAGAGUAUUUAGUAUGGUGAAACGGACAAGGUCUUCAACUAGUGAAACUCUCAUCUCACAGGACAGAAUCAGAAAAUAUUGUAAAUAAGAAAAUUCCAGAUGUUGGCCUGCACCAUGAAGAAAACAGGGUUCUCUGCUGCUGAGUCAUGAGAAUAAAGGUUUAGCCCUGAGUGGAAUGGAGACUCCUGGAGCCUGAAUUCAUGGUGAUGGUUCCUAUCUACUUCUGCAACAGCUUGGCUGGCCGAUCCAAAGGACAUCUCUCCAGAAGUCUCUGUUCUUCAUAAUGCUAACUGAAUGGAGUCAGUAACAAAGCAGGCAAAGAAAGGAUCCUGCUCUGUCUCCUAGAAACCCUAUAUCUUGGCUGGGUUCUGAAUGAGCAACUUUUCGCACUUGUCUCUAGAGCUGACCACAACUUUCCUGAUCUCUCACCUGCAAUCCUGUGUUUAUUUUACCUGUAGUUCGAGUCUACCCAACUCACAGCCAUUAAACUAGAUUUCACUAAGCCCAAUUCUUCAUUUUCUCUCUUUCUUUUUUUUGCUUAGUCACUAUGAUAUUUCUGUACUUGGUGUGACAAAAAACAAACUCCUCCAUCUUGGGAUAUACCCUUCUCAAACCAAACCUGCUCACUUGUUCUCCCUUCCUACCUGGCUCACUACCACACACACCUCUGCUCUCAUUGUUCCUGCCAACAACAUUGUCUUCCUCUCAAGCCCACUUCCUUGCCUACUGACUCUUCCUGCUGUGCAUGCUCAUUUCCACAUCUGAAAGGAGUCAAUGUGCUGCUCCAGGUCCCAGACACACUCAGCAUGAAGCGCACAGCUCACCAACAGUGCUCCCCUCCUCUCCAUCCCCCACCAAACCCCAGCUGCUGACUCAGACUUGGGCUGAUGGGGCACCCAGACCUCACCUCUUCACCCCUGCUCUAUGGGCCUCAUUGCUAUAACUGAGCUGUUGUCUGGGUCCUUGUGUAGGUUCCAGCUGAGUCAUCUUGCCUCAUCUUUUCCCCUUUCUAAACCUCAGCUAAUACCUGAAGCUUUACUAUUUAUACACUGGGCACCAUCCAGCCCAAAGAUGCCCAUCUCAGGGGACCCAAGUAAGAUGCUGCCAAUAAUUGGUCCUAUCAAGUGUGUUAAUUUAUCUAACAUUUAUUUUUCACAUUCCACAAUUUCACAAUUUUUUGUUUUAUCAUAUUUAUUAUUUUAUAUUUUGCUCCUUUUGUAUGUACUGCAUUUAUGUACUUUUAUCCUCUUCACCAACUAUUUCACCAACAUUAUUACA